AGUAUAGCUCAGUGGUAGAGCGUGUGCUUAGCAUACGUGAGGUCCUGGGUUUGAUCCCUAGUACU
rnacentral:tRNA from 1 species